GAUGAACGCUGGCGGCGUGCUUAACACAUGCAAGUCGAACGAUGAAGCCCAGCUUGCUGGGUGGAUUAGUGGCGAACGGGUGAGUAACACGUGAGUAACCUGCCCUUGACUCUGGGAUAAGCCUGGGAAACUGGGGCUAAUACUGGAUAUGACUUCUCAUCGCAUGGGGGGGGGUGGGAAGAUUUAUUGGUCUUGGAUGGACUCGCGGCCUAUCAGCUUGUUGGUGAGGUAAUGGCUCACCAAGGCGACGACGGGUAGCCGGCCUGAGAGGGUGACCGGCCACACUGGGACUGAGACACGGCCCAGACUCCUACGGGAGGCAGCAGUGGGGAAUAUUGCACAAUGGGCGCAAGCCUGAUGCAGCGACGCCGCGUGAGGGAUGACGGCCUUCGGGUUGUAAACCUCUUUCAGUAGGGAAGAAGCGAGAGUGACGGUACCUGCAGAAGAAGCGCCGGCUAACUACGUG
rnacentral:rRNA from 1 species